rnacentral:tmRNA from 1 species
GGGGGCGCCCGGUUUCGACUGUUAGGGUUUCUCUUGAGUUGCAUGUCGAGGUUGGCCGGUUGGCCUCGUAAAAAGCCGUCCAAAACAUAAAUGCUAACGAUACUGAUUACGCAUUAGCGGCAUAAGAUAAGCCCGCUGCCUUUCCCACUCGACGCCUAAUAGAGUGACGACAGGCCCAAACUCAUUAGGCUGGCUUCAAACCUGAGCUUCAGGGGGGAGAAGUAAGACUUUGCUGCAGCUUGCCGCUUCACUGGUUUUGUUUACCGACAGGUGAGGAGGUCAAGAAAUAAAGGUAAACUACACAUGUAGACGCUCCUGUAGUACUUUACUCAGGACGGGGGUUCGAUUCCCCCCGCCUCCAUUA